rnacentral:rRNA from 1 species
AGGUAGUGACGAAAAAUAACGAUACGGGACUCAUCCGAGGCCCCGUAAUCGGAAUGAGUACACUUUAAAUCCUUUAACGAGGAUCAAUUGGAGGGCAAGUCUGGUGCCAGCAGCCGCGGUAAUUCCAGCUCCAAUAGCGUAUAUUAAAGUUGUUGCGGUUAAAAAGCUCGUAGUUGAAUCUGUGUCGCACGCUGUCGGUUCGCCGCUCGCGGUGUUUAACUGACAUGCUCGUGAGACGUCCUACCGGUGGGCUUAGCUCUUCGGGGCGGUCCAACUAAUAUCCCAUCGCGGUGCUCUUAAUUGAGUGUCGAGGUGGGCCGGUACGUUUACUUUGAACAAAUUAUAGUGCUUAAAGCAGGCUACCUUUGCCUGAAUACUGUGUGCAUGGAAUAAUGGAAUAGGACCUCGGUUCUAUUUUGUUGGUUUUCGGAAAUCCGAGGUAAUGAUUAAUAGGGACAGAUGGGGGCAUUCGUAUUGCGACGUUAGAGGUGAAAUUCUUGGAUCGUCGCAAGACGGACAGAAGCGAAAGCAUUUGCCAAAAAUGUUUUCAUUAAUCAAGAACGAAAGUUAGAGGUUCGAAGGCGAUCAGAUACCGCCCUAGUUCUAACCAUAAACGAUGCCAGCUAGCGAUCCGCCGAAGUUCCUCCGAUGACUCGGCGGGCAGCU